AAGUCGUAACAAGGUUUCCGUAGGUGAACCUGCGGAAGGAUCAUUACAAAAUCCAAAACACAUCAACCCCAAAUGUGUGCUCUUGCAUUUGCAAAAAGCGAGCGAGUAAGACUGAGAGAGAGAGAGACAAAAGAGAAUGUAACAGUUUUCUUUCUUUCUUUCUUUCUCCUUGCGCGUCUCUCACUUUCUGCGUCUUUUUUUGUUUUCAAUAUUUUUUCAAAACUCCUUGUUUCAACCAACAAAGGAUGACAAUGUUAAAACUUGAAUCAAAAAACCAAAAAAAAAUUAACAAAAUGACAACUUUUAACGGUGGAUCUCUUGGCUCGU
rnacentral:misc_RNA from 1 species